AAAAAUUAGACCACUUAACAGGUAAAUGUGGAUUAUGCUUCCUACUUGCUCCUCUGAUGUAUAAAUACAGGCUCAAUGUGUUAACACUGCUUGGCAUGUAGAAAAUAGCUGCUGUUGUCAUCUCUUGCCUAGAGCUCAGUUGUGGAGCAGAGUUUAUUUUGUGUACAGAGGUAGCCAUGGAGCCUGUAUUUAUGCACAAUGACAAGUAAAGGGAACACUCAACAUAGGGAAAAUCUCCUGCUGCUUUUAACUUUAUGCUGUUCAUGAUGGUAGCAUACUGUGUUAAUAAGGUACCUUGUAUUAUUCUUCACAUGCACUGCAGUGUCAUGAGUAAAGAUGGUUUUUAAGGAAACAACCCCCAUAAAUUCCUUCAAUAUUGAAAGCAACAGUGGUGUUAGUUUUUAAAAGAGCAUUGAAAGGGAUUUGCUACUUUCAAUAAAGUAACAAAUUCAAGUAGUGGUUAUUGUAGCUUUCAAUUACACAGAAUGCAAAGCCUUGAGAGCUUCAGCAAAUAUCACAGACCUUUCAUAAACGAAAUGGACUUCUGCUGAUGUAUGAGCGUACCCUCCCUGCCCUCAGCACUGCUGAGCCAGAGUGGAGUUUAAAAUUACAGGCCAAGCUCUCUCACAUGCCACCUUUUUAGGGAAGGAAAUACUUGUUCUAUUCCCUUGAAGUUGCUUCAGUGGUCUUUACAUUGCAGGAAUGUUGGCUCACAGCUGCAGUGUAACAUAAGAUGACUUCAGCAGUGAAAAAUGGUUUAUGAGGGUGACUGUGUGGCAGAGAAAGCUGCCUGACCCAGAUGUCUACCCUGCUUCUAAAGCAGCUGCCGCUUAAGAUCUUUCCCCAUUCCUGCUUAAAGAUGCACCUCUUAUAGCCAAACCCAGGAACUGCAUAAAAAUGUAGUGGUAGAACAUUUACUCUGUUCUCCUGUAGCACACCACCCCCAAGAGAAUCUGCUGCACAAGCAGAAUAUAGCUAUACGGGAGGAGGGGUAGCAUAAAACAGAGAACCAGAAGGAAAUGAGGCAAAACAACAACUGAUGCUAGAGCAUCAAGGAGGCUAUUCAUCUGCUAGCCUAUGCAGUUUGGUGGGGUGGCCUGUCAGGCACAGGGGAAUCCCUAUGGUUGGGAAUCCCUGUAGUUGGGUGAUUUGGGGAUACAAGAUACAGUCCUGGGAUGAGAGAUCAGGCCUCUGAUGUAAAGUGAAAGUUCUAUUGGAUCGGGGGCACCUCAAGUAUCCUUGCUUGGGGAGAAAUAUAAUACAAUGAAAGCUUUUUGCCAUAGUUCUUUAUACAGCAAAACAAUAGUGCUAAGAACAAACUCACCACUGUAGUGCUCCAAAGAAACACUGAACUGCCUGGAAGCAUUCACUACAGUUUCUGCUGAAUGAUUUUGGAGCUGCAGUUUUUAGGCUUAAGCCCCAUAUUGAAAACUACUAUAGGAUAGCUCUGCCUACACAGUUUUACUUAAGGGAGAAAUGGUUGAGAGAGAACUAUUUGCUCAAAGUUACGCUCAUGGUCAUAGUUUCUGGCAAGUCAAAAAUAUCCAUACUGGAACAUGCAAACCAUUAUAGCUGGUUGGGAUCAGGCUCCACGCUGCUGCUGUGGUAGUGGAUUAAGCACUAAGUAUUUCCUACUCUAGUCAAAGUUUAAGCAAGAGAAAAGCAGAAUCUGGUUCUCAGCUAGGGGACUGUGAUUGGGUCAGUCCAACAACCAGUUUAAAAAACGGAUGCAAAAUCUUUUAUUUAACUGGAAAUAAAAUAGGAUAGCAUGUUUAGUCCAAUAACAUCAACACCUUUGAAUACUGUUACAUUGUCUAGCAUACUGGCUAGAGGAGAGGCUCGGUAUGGGAGGUGACAAUGAGAUGAAGGUAGUUUCUGUGAAAUAGGGUAGCUGCUCUUUCUAAACUAGGCUUACAGCCAGCUAAAUAAGAGGGUUGAAAGUGCACGCGCUCUCUCUCUCUCUGACACUUUCUCUACCUUUGGAUCCUGUUUGAAAUCUUAGAUGUUCACAGCUAAAUGAUGGGGUGUUUUCGCCUCACACAGCUGCAUGUGGCACACUGAGAGAAGUUGUCUCCUUGGAGCUGAAGGUGGGGUGGUGCUGCACAAACAAACACAUGCCUACAAGGUGGGCCAAAGGGGUGGACCUUGUAAUCCAGCAUGUGCUGAAAAAACUUCAGCAGACAUGUUGCUGCACUGGUCUGACCGACAUGAAACAAACAGAAGACACGCAUGAAAUUAUCCAGAAUGCUAGGAGGUGAAGAACAUUUAAAUCAGCUAAGAAAAUUAACAGCCUGCAAAAUGAGGCUACAGAAGCAGUGAUGGGAAAACAUUUCAUCCACUUUCUGAUCGCUUGGUACCAGGGUGGUGCUCCAUGAGAUCAGCAAGCCUCCCAUUCUAGGGAAGGCUGUGCAUCUCCAGCAGCCGGGACGAGAGCCAUUGCAGACUGCAUGCAUGCAGGGCAGAAGUCAGCAAAUAUCAACUCUCAAAACCCUCUUGCCAUAGAUAAGGAUGGUCCAAUGAUUAGGCGGCUACCGUGGAAAUCAGGAGGCAGAUUCAACUCGCUGCCCUGCCAGACUUCGUGUGACCUUGGCUGAGUCACUUAACCUCUUUGGCUCUCAGUUCCUUGUGUGUAAAAUGGGCACAAGAGCACUGCUCUGCCAAACACAAGUGCUGUGAGGGUAAAUACAUUAGAGACUGUGAAGCACUGAGAUACUGUGGCAGCGGGGACCAUAUAAGUAGCUAAGAUCGAUAAAGAAUCCUUUAUGGUGUCAUUUUUCUGUGUAGAAAAUUCAUCAGAAUUCCCCAUUAGGUAUUUAAUUUAUAACUUUUCCAGAGCUGCUGAAAGCUGCUACCUACUAUUGAACUUAAACACUGUGCCCCACAAUAUGGGAGAUUUAAAAGCAAACAUGUGUCAAGUCUCCCUGAAAGGAGAACUCUCCGUGAAAAUCCAGGAGGUUACAUCAACUAAUAACCCACAUGUUGCUCUCAUCUGGUUGGCUGGUCUGGCCUGCAA